UGCGAGUCGAGAGUCAUAAUGGACUCGGCAUACUGCUCAGUAACACGUGGAUAACCUGCCCUGAGCUGGGGAAUAACCUCGGGAAACUGAGAAUAAUGCCCCAUAGGCCACAAUGCCUGGAACGGUUUGUGGCUCAAAGCCCCGGCGGCUCAGGAUGGGUCUGCGGCAUAUCAGGCAGUAGUGGGUGUAACGGACCCACUAGCCUUCGACGUGUACGGGUUGUGGGAGCAAUCGCCCGGAGAUGGAUUCUGAGACACGAAUCCAGACCCUACGGGGUGCAGCAGGCGCGAAAACUUCACACUGCGGGAAACCGCGAUGAGGGGAUUCCAAGUGUCUGGGGUAAGACCCAGUCUUUUCUCGACUAUUAACAGGUCUUGGAAUAAGGGGCGGGUAAGACCGGUGCCAGCCGCCGCGGUAAUACCGGCGCCCCGAGUGGUCGUCGCUUUUAUUGGGCCUAAAACGUCCGUAGCCGGUCCGGUAAACCCGUGGGUAAAUCAACCAGCUCAACUGGUUGAAUUCUGCGGAGACUGCCGGACUA
rnacentral:rRNA from 1 species